AUACGGAGGGUGCAAGCGUUGUUCGGAAUCACUGGGCGUAAAGGGUGUGUAGGCGGCCUCGUAAGUCGGAUGUGAAAGCCCUCGGCUCAACCGAGGAAGUGCAUCCGAUACUGCGGGGCUUGAGUCCCGGAGAGGGGGGUGGAAUUCCCGGUGUAGAGGUGAAAUUUGUAGAUAUCGGGAGGAACACCGGUGGCGAAGGCGACCCCCUGGACGGAGACUGACGCUGAGACACGAAAGCGUGGGGAGCAAACAGGAUUAGAAACCCUAGUAGUCC
rnacentral:rRNA from 1 species